rnacentral:rRNA from 1 species
GAUGAACGCUGGCGGCGUGCCUAAUACAUGCAAGUAGAACGCUGAAGGAAGGAGCUUGCUCUUUCCGGAUGAGUUGCGAACGGGUGAGUAACGCGUAGGUAACCUGCCUGGUAGCGGGGGAUAACUAUUGGAAACGAUAGCUAAUACCGCAUAACAGUAGAUGUUGCAUGAUAUCUACUUAAAAGGUGCAAUUGCACCACUACCAGAUGGACCUGCGUUGUAUUAGCUAGUUGGUGAGGUAACGGCUCACCAGGGCGACGAUACAUAGCCGACCUGAGAGGGUGAUCGGCCACACUGGGACUGAGACACGGCCCAGACUCCUACGGGAGGCAGCAGUAGGGAAUCUUCGGCAAUGGACGGAAGUCUGACCGAGCAACGCCGCGUGAGUGAAGAAGGUUUUCGGAUCGUAAAGCUCUGUUGUAGGAGAAGAACGAGUGUGAGAGUGGAAAGUUCACAUUGUGACGGUAUCUUACCAGAAAGGGACGGCUAACUACGUG